CAAGGUUUAUGCAAAAUAUAGAUGUCUAUAUGCAAUUGUGAUCUUCCAUCCCCAAUGGCCAGCUUCAUGCCUCCUCUCGAUCAUUCCCUACGAUAGAAACAACUAUCGCUAAGCAUAUAGCUUAGUGGUGCAAAACUAUUGUUUCGGAGCCAUCCGAUUCACAAAGCAAACUUUCUCAAGUCAUGAGCAACAUAAUUGGACAUAAUUAAUAAAUCAAGUCAACAAUAUAUAAAGAGUAUCAAAUUCGAUAUUAAAGACCCAAAUGUCAAGAACGUUCAUAGCAUCAUUUUCCAAGAGAUUCAACAACAAGGCUCGCCCAACAUGUACAUCAUGUCCUCACACCAUGCACAAGCAAGUAUCAAGAAGGGUCGACGCCCUGUAUCAAGAAGGGUCAAAGCCCAAUAAUCAAGAGAACCAAGAACCAUAUUAAAAAAUGGUUUUCUAAUUCGUACUUAAAAAUGGACAACAUCCAUACUUAAGACGAACUAAAAAUCCAGAGUCAAGAUGGCAAAUGAUCCGAAUCAAGAGGCAUGCCAAGAGUGACAAAGUCACAGCCACAAGAAGGACAAGGUCCCAACAAGAGUGCCAGGUGAUCAAACAAUCCAUACAAGUGGGCGAGUUACACAAGCGUCUUUACCGUCUCAAAGGAUACCAACACAACAAUGCAAAGUGACAAGAGGUAACCAAGGUACCAAGAUCCAAUUUCAGAUAUACUAGAGGUUAAACGAGUACAAGUACGAGUUUAUACACAAACCUCCCUGCUUUAGCAAAGAAACAGUCCAACCAAUGUAUCAAGGUCCUCAACUUGUUCACGAGUACAAAGAACCUUUAAAAUACAAUUAAACAACUUCUUUAAUCCCUAGCAGCUCAAUAAUAUUGAUGUAAAAUAAUAUCAUCAUCACAAGUAAAAUUAUCCUGCACAAACACAACAAUGCUCCCAAAACAGUGAUUCUGGCCAGCCUAGUACCUCAUGUCACAACUUAGAUUUGAAACGGAAAACAGCAAAUCUAGACUUUAUAACCUUCAUGAAAUAUGUAGAUACAUAUCUUAGGGUUGCAAACAAACAAGAAUCACCGCAAAAUUUAUUUUGUACAACAAGAUAUAGUCAAAACACUAACAGCUGUUCAUACAGAAUUUGUACUUCCAAAAUCUGGACAGAACUUGUUCUAUAUUGCGUCCCAUAUUUCGAGUCUAUAACAUCUGAAUCAGAGUUCGACAUAAACAUAGGAGUUGUAGGUCUAUUAAUUAUCUUUCCAAAUCAUAUUUAUUCACUGUAAACUAAGUUCCAGAGCGAGAGAUAUGCAUAUAAUACUAAACACUACCCAGUUCAGAAACAGAUUUCGACACUUACCAACAAGAAGUGUGUGUUCUUGAAUUCCAGCCAAAAAGGGCCAAGUUUCUCUUGUGAUUUUUAAGAACACUCUGUUUAGAUAAGUUUCUAA
rnacentral:lncRNA from 1 species